UGCACUGAGUGUAGAGGAGUUUGGUGUAUACGGUUGGGUUUGUGAGCUAGGUGUGCCAUUGAUGUCAGUGGCGAAGUUGGAUCAGGAAAGAAGAAGAACAUGAGUGAUUUAACGGUUCUAUCACUCGGGUAAAGAGCGCACACAGCUGGACGUCGUAUAUUCCUUUAAUCUAGGAAUAUGUCUAGCUAUUUUGUUUUUCAUUUUAUGCUCUGGUGGAAUGGUAAAGAAUUGGUCAAGCCGGUUUGCGCGGUGAGUAUUGUCCGUUAGAUGUUUUAAGACCUUCGGCGUGAAAUUUUC